rnacentral:rRNA from 1 species
GUGCCAGCAGCCGCGGUAAUACGGAGGGUGCAAGCGUUAAUCGGAAUUACUGGGCGUAAAGCGCACGCAGGCGGUUUGUUAAGUCAGAUGUGAAAUCCCCGGGCUCAACCUGGGAACUGCAUCUGAUACUGGCAAGCUUGAGUCU